UUAUUGGAUUCAACAAAUCAAUUAAACAAACCUACUGAAUUAACUACACUUCACACCAAGCUAACUCAAACAACCCAAUUAAUCUAAAAUCAAUCGACAGUCUAAUAUGAAUCAGAACGAUAGAAUCACAGUCCAGCUAAACACAUUCAAAUAGUCCAAACAAUUUCCAGAAGUCAUAAUCAGCGCAGGUCUAUUCAUACAAGUUCCAAAUGAAUUAAACUAUGGAAUACUUUUAAACUAACAGAGAUAGCAGCAAACCCGAACAGCCAUUCAAAUAGCACUUAUUCAUUUAUUCUUCAAACUCAGAUUUAUAUAAUCUUUUCCAAUUCUCAGAAAAGCAGAGGAGAUACAUGGAAAUUGUAACACAAGGAGAAGAGAUUGGAUUAGGAAAUCUGCAGCAACAAUAAUUCAAACAGCAACAGUAGCAAUCAAUUCCCAGCGAAUGAGAACAACGAAAACACCCCCAAGAAUGAACUUCAGAAUUCCCAAGUGUUAUAAACCAAAUAGAAUCGAGAGAUCUACUCAAACAGUUGCGAAAACAGACAAAAUAAACUAGAAAAUAUUCCGAGAAUGCAUUUAACACUUUCAGCGAAACAAAGUUCAAUAAAAAAUCCAACUCAAUUGGACCUAAACUCAUUCAAAAUCAACUCAUAUAUCUAUGAAGUCUCAGCCAUCAACCUUGAACUAAGAGAUGAAGAUCAAAUGCUCAAGACUUGAAAUUAAACUCAAGAUUCAAUGGAACAGUCUAUUUUUGGUUUUUCUAUUUAAUUUCUAUUGCUUUUGGUUUUUCCUUUUUGAAGAAGUUAGGAUCCAAGGGAGCUUCAAA
rnacentral:lncRNA from 1 species